AAAUUUUCCCUCCUGCGGGUUUGUGAGACCAACGAGGGUGCCAGCGAACCCCCAGCAGCUUCCGCGGGCCUCUGCUUGGUACCCGCCGGGCGGUCCCCCACCUUCCUCUGCGCUCUCGCGGUCAGUGACCCCCGCUGGACAUCGUGUGUUUGCUCAGUGGUUGGUGGUGGAGGUGAGCGGUUGCGACCUAGGAGGGCUCCUUCGAGCCUGGCAGACCCCGUGUCCAGACAGGGGAGGGGAGGCCACGAGAGGCAGACAGCCUCCCUGAGGGCGCACAGCUGGUGCGCGAGGGGCACUGCGCCCCUUACCCUGGAGCAGGGGACCUCCUUGGGCUUGACCCCGUGGGCGUGGCCCCACAUGGGCGUGUUCUCUCGUGGGCGUGGCCGCCCGUGGGUGUGGCCCCUCUUGGGCGUGGCUCCAGUGGGCGUGGUCUCCCGUGGGCGUUACCCUGUAGGGAAGCCGAGGGCCCUCCUCCCUGGGCACAUCCCAGGGUGGGUUCCCUGUGGCCGCUGCUUGCCUGCCCACAGAGNGGACAGGCGGAGGACUGGGUGGGGAAGGGGCUGGGUCAGCGGGAGAGCGGGCAGCCUCCAUGGGCCUCCUAAGAAGUAAGAGUGCUGGGAAUUCCCCCAAAUUGGUCCCUUCUUGUAUUAGUCAGAGGACCCCGCUGAGACCACCGCAGCAAAGGGGACACUCACUGCCUUACAAGGGGAGGGGAGGGCAGCCCCCGCCCGGCCCGGGCCGGGGCCCGCGGGCCCCCCCCCCCCCCCCCCCCCCCCC
rnacentral:lncRNA from 1 species